AUAUGCUUGUCUCAAAGAUUAAGCCAUGCAUGUCUCAGUACAAGCCAAAUUAAGGUGAAACCGCGAAAGGCUCAUUAAAUCAGUUAUGGUUCAUUAGAUUGUACGCAAAGUUACUUGGAUAACUGUGGUAAUUCUAGAGCUAAUACAUGCAUACAGAGCUCCGACCAGGGAUGGGAGGAGUGCUUUUAUUAGAUCAAAACCAAUCGGCGGCAGUGCACCGUCCUCGCGGCGAUGUAUCUGUUCGUCGCCCUACAUGGUGAUUCUGAAUAACUUUUUGCUGAUCGCACGGUCACCCGCACCGGCGACGAAUCUUUCAAAUGUCUGCCUUAUCAACUUUCGAUGGUAGGUUCUGCGCCUACCACGGUUGUAACGGGUAACGGGGAAUCAGGGUUCGAUUCCGGAGAAGGAGCCUGAGAAACGGCUACCACAUCCAAGGAAGGCAGCAGGCGCGCAAAUUACCCACUCCCGGCACGGGGAGGUAGUGACGAAAAAUAACGAUACGGGACUCAUCCGAGGCCCCGUAAUCGGAAUGAGUACACUUUAAAUCCUUUAACAAGGACCAAUUGGAGGGUAAGUCUGGUGCCAGCAGCCGCGGUAAUUCCAGCUCCAAUAGCGUAUAUUAAAGUUGUUGCGGUUAAAAAGCUCGUAGUUGAAUUUGUGUCUCGUGCUGUCGGUACACCGCCCGCGGUGCCAACUGGCAUGCUCACGAGACGUCCUGCCGGUGGGUGGUUUUGUAAAACCGUUCGCAGUGCGCCCCGGACGCACGCCACGUGCACGCGAAUGCAAAUUCAAGUGUGUGUGCGCGCUGUGCACUGGUUGGCCGCUGUGCGUGGUCCACCCGACUUGUCGUCGCGCCUAACAACGGGGCGGCAAGAAUCCUAUCGCGGUGCUCUUAACUGAGUGUCGAGGUGGGCCGGCACGUUUACUUUGAACAAAUUAGAGUGCUUAAAGCAGGCUAAAAACGCGCCUGAAUAAUGUGUGCAUGGAAUAAUAGAACAGGACCUCGGUUCUAUUUUGUUGGUUUUCGGAACCGCCGAGGUAAUGAUUAAUAGGGACAGAUGGGGGCAUUCGUAUUGCGACGUUAGAGGUGAAAUUCUUGGAUCGUCGCAAGACGGACUGAAGCGAAAGCAUUUGCCAAAAAUGUUUUCAUUAAUCAAGAACGAAAGUCAGAGGUUCGAAGGCGAUCAGAUACCGCCCUAGUUCUGACCAUAAACGAUGCCAGCUAGCGAUCCGCCGAUGUUCCUCCGAUGACUCGGCGGGCAGCUUCCGGGAAACCAAAGCUUUUGGGUUCCGGGGGAAGUAUGGUUGCAAAGCUGAAACUUAAAGGAAUUGACGGAAGGGCACCACCAGGAGUGGAGCCUGCGGCUUAAUUUGACUCAACACGGGGAAACUUACCAGGUCCAGACACCGGAAGGAUUGACAGAUUGAGAGCUCUUUCUUAAUUCGGUGGGUGGUGGUGCAUGGUCGUUCUUAGUUGGUGGAUUGGUUUGUCUGCUUAAUUGCGAUAACGAGCGAGACUCUAGCCUACUAAAUAGGCGUACCUAACCGGUAUCUCGAAGGCUCACAAGUGCCGUACUCCAAACUGUCGGGCCCGGCCCGUUCAUUUGCGCUGUCGCUCUCGACUCCUCCCGCGGGUCUUGGGUGCACAGGCGGUGUUCGGUUCACCCGGCGGGCGGUAUCUUGUGGUUUUUACUACCGGCGUACACAUUUGAUCUUCUUAGAGGGACAGGCGGCUUCGAGCCGCACGAGAUUGAGCAAUAACAGAUCUGUGAUGCCCUUAGAUGUUCUGGGCCGCACGCGCGCUACACUGAAGGAAUCAACGUGUCUUCCCUGGCCGAAUGGCCCGGGUAACCCGCUGAACCUCCUUCGUGCUAGGGAUUGGGGCUUGCAAUUGUUCCCCAUGAACGAGGAAUUCCCAGUAAGCGUGAGUCAUCAGCUCACGUUGAUCGAGUCCCUGCCCUUUGUACACACCGCCCGUCGCUACUACCGAUUGAAUGAUUUAGUGAGGUCUUCGGACCGGUACUCGGCGGCGUUUCGACGUUGCCGUAGCCGCUGGGAAGAUGACCAAACUUGAUUAUUUAGAGGA
rnacentral:rRNA from 1 species